rnacentral:rRNA from 1 species
AUACGUAGGGGGCAAGCGUUAUCCGGAUUUACUGGGUGUAAAGGGAGCGUAGACGGCGAAGCAAGUCUGAAGUGAAAGGACGGGGCCCAACCCCGGAACUGCUUUGGAAACUGUUUGGCUGGAGUGCGGGAGGGGUAAGCGGAAUUCCUAGUGUAGCGGUGAAAUGCGUAGAUAUUAGGAGGAACACCGGUGGCGAAGGCGGCUUACUGGACCGUAACUGACGUUGAGGCUCGAAGGCGUGGGGAGCAAACAGGAGUAGAUACCCUGGUAGUCCACGCGGUAAACGAUGAUCACUAGGUGUCCGUGGGUAUGACCCAUGGGUGCCGCAGCCAACGCAAUAAGUGAUCCACCUGGGGAGUACGUUCGCAAGAAUGAAACUUAAAGGAAUUGACGGGG